UAGGCUAUGAAGCACUGGGGAAGUAAUGACCCGUGGAUGACUCCUAACGUCUUUAGGAAGCUUAAUAAUAUACAUGUUCAAUAUAAAUGACCAAUGUGUCAGUAAUUUAAAUCAUGAUAUCAUAGAACUGGAUCACAAGACGAGUAAACUAAUCGACUGUAGCCUUUCUUGGGUGAGACAGGUGUAGGCUUGGCUAUGCAGGAAACCGGCAAUAGCCAAGGCACUACACUUGUUUCUAUAGAUAGGCUAUAAAAAUAACUUCAAGAUGUCAGUGAUUCAAUUAUUUACUUGGCAGGAAUAAAUUCAAUCUUGUAAAGCCACCGGCCAUGUUGUCAUGAUCGCACCACACUGUAAACAUAGCAAGAAGAUUAUGUGAAGUUCAAAGCCCCAACUGACAGACUGACUUCAAAAAGUCCAACGCAAACGAACCGUGCCCCACCGCGGCGCUAAAAGAUUACGGACAACUCGGUGUUUUUGUUUACCCAACCUGGUUUACCUUGUCCUGUCAACAACAACAACAAAAAAUGUAUUCCCACAAAAGCCAAGUAACCCGGUGAAUCUUUGAGAGUGCCAGAAUCUUCCCCCGGCUCCUGCCACAGAUAAAGCAGCUGAGCAGAAACGUAAUCCUGCCCACCAUCUCUCCACAUCUGAUAAUGUUGCCAUAUCGUAACAUAAUGAGCACACAUAUUCUCAGAAGGCCUGGAGCGUUCCUGCAUUGACACUUGCUCCUGAAAAGACAGACUCUCUGUGUGUGUGUGUGUGUGUGUGUGUGUGUGUGUGUGUGUGUGUGUGUGUGUGUGUGUGUGUGUGUGUGUGUGUGUGUGUGUGUGUGUGUGUGUGUGUGUGUGUGUGUGUGUGUGCGCGCGGGCGCGCGUGCGUGUCUGCUGACUCUCUGCCUCUCUCUGGUUGCACAAAGCUGCUGCAGGCAUCAUGUUCCGAAGAGUAACCGUCUGGCGUCGUGUUGAAUACAGACCCAUGUAUUAGAUACAGGCAGACAUGUCCACAGGAAUUGUGAAGCUGUCACACUACUAGCUGAGGGGUGCUGAUUGCAGAGAUUUAUAGAAAACAAUUUUAAAUAUUAUGCCUAUUGCUUUAAGUUAGGAACAUGACUAACAAGUCAAUCCGGUUAUGCUACAUGUGUGUUAAUCUCAUUCAAAGUUGCAUCAUUGCAAUAGGGAAACUUGUUAGAGCAGCUUACAGCACAGACAGAUCAUACUCAAAAUAGCACAACUCACUGGUGACAUUGUAAAGUGCCCUCAAAAAAUAUUCUAAUCAAAGCAGAGAGAAGUCUCGAACUUUCAGUUGCAUCAGAUCCAAUAGGUUAAUCAUACAGAUAUUUUCUGACUCACUAUUACAGGUAAUAGAUUUAAGCCUUUACAUUUAAACCUGAUUUCCUACUUCCUGUUCAUAGCAUAUAUGUCUUUCUUGUUUAGAAAGUAAUUUAAGUCAUAUAAAAGUCAUUGUAUACAUCCCUUUCCUGCAGUCGAUCGCCCUCUAGUGGCCUCAUAGGUGGAAUGUUAUUCAUAUUUUUCAUAAUUAAUAAACUAUGUCGAACUGUUGUGUUAUA